GAUGAACGCUGGCGGCGUGCCUAAUACAUGCAAGUCGAGCGAACAGACGAGGAGCUUGCUCCUCUGACGUUAGCGGCGGACGGGUGAGUAACACGUGGAUAACCUACCUAUAAGACUGGGAUAACUUCGGGAAACCGGAGCUAAUACCGGAUAAUAUAUUGAACCGCAUGGUUCAAUAGUGAAAGACGGUUUUGCUGUCACUUAUAGAUGGAUCCGCGCCGCAUUAGCUAGUUGGUAAGGUAACGGCUUACCAAGGCAACGAUGCGUAGCCGACCUGAGAGGGUGAUCGGCCACCCUGGAACUGAGACACGGUCCAGACUCCUCCGGGAGGCAGCAGUAGGGAAUCUUCCGCAAUGGGCGAAAGCUUGACGGAGCAACGCCGCGUGAGUGAUGAAGGUCUUCGGAUCGUAAAACUCUGUUAUUAGGGAAGAACAAAUGUGUAAGUAACUAUGCACGUCUUGACGGUACCUAAUCAGAAAGCCACGGCUAACUACGUG
rnacentral:rRNA from 1 species